AAUUUAGUCCCAAGGAAGGAAUGGAUGGCUAAUGAUUGGGAUAGAAAUGUGAAGGGAACUUGAAUUACCAUUUCCCAAUAGCGGUACAAAACCAUAUCAAUCCUUGAAGAAACAAACAAGAAGUCACGCAGAUUAUCAUCUGCCCAGGAAGUUACAGAAGCCACAACUGAGUUCCAUAGAAGAAAGUUGCUCAAUUGUCCUCUUGUCCCUUCAAGGACUCGAUUAAGACUUUCCUCCUUACUCUUCUGAUCCAGGAAUAGCUGCAGGACUAACUGGCUAUUUUCCUAAAUUAGUAGAUUUAGAUAAGCAACAGACUAAGAGGCUAGAGGUAGGAAGGAAACAAUAAUAAUUUAUAAGCAACAGAACAAGAUCAUUAGCUACCUAGUUGUAGUUGAAUUCAGCAAACAUCCAAAAGAGCAGUGUGCAUAUAAGAGCCUGGUAAAGUACAAAAACAUCUACAGCACAGCAUAAGCUAUAACAGUUUAUAAACAUUACCUUCAUCUCUGGUGUGCUCUUCAUACAUUGGAAUAUCCUGCAUGUGAAUGCCACUUCAAAUACAUCAGUUUUCAUUAGGCAAUCCUGUCAUGCGAGUUCGAUGCAUGCAGUAGCAUACCUCUGUGUAAGGCC
rnacentral:lncRNA from 1 species